AUUGAACACUGGCGGCAGGACUAACACAUGCAAGUCGAACGAGAGGCGGACGGGUGAGUAAUGUCUUGGAAACUGACUGAUGGAGGGGGAUAACUACUGGAAACGGUAGCUAAUAACGCAUACCAUCAGAUGUGCCCAGAUGGUAUUAGCUAGUUGGUGGGGUAACGGCUAACCCAGGCGACGAUCCCUAGCUGGUCUGAGAGGAUGACCAGCCACACUGGGACCGAGACACGGUCCAGACUCCUACGGGAGGCAGCAGUGGGGAAUAUGUCACAAUGGGCGCAAGCCUGAGGCAGCCAUGCCGCGUGUAUGAAGAAGGCCUUCGGGUUGUAAAGUACUGUCAGUCGGGAGGCGUUACCCGCAGAAGAAGCACCGGCUAACUCCGUGCCAGCAGCCGCGGUAAGUC
rnacentral:rRNA from 1 species